GACAGAGGUGCCGAGCGUUAGGCGGAAUCACUGGGCUUAAAGCGUGUGUAUGCGGGUCGUUAAGUGUCUUGUGAAAUCCCACCGCUCAACGGUGGAACCGCUGGGCAUACUGGCGAUCUUGAGCAGUCCAGGGGCGAGCGGAACAAGCGGUGGAGCGGUGAAAUGCGUAGAUAUCGCUUGGAACGCCGACGGUGAAAACAGCUCGCUGGGGACUCGCUGACGCUGAGACACGAAAGCCAGGGGAGCAAACGGG
rnacentral:rRNA from 1 species